UCUCCGUAGGUGAACCUGCGGAGGGAUCAUUACAGAGUAUCAUGCCCUUCGGGGUAGAUCUCCCACCCUGUGUAUUGUAUACCUUUUGUUGCUUUGGCGGGCCGCCUCGGCCACCGGCUCCGGCUGGUGCGUGCCCGCCAGAGGACCCCAAACUCUGAAUGUUAGUGUCGUCUGAGUACUAUCUAAUAGUUAAAACUUUCAACAACGGAUCUCGGGGUUCUGGCAUCGAUGAAGAACGCAGC
rnacentral:misc_RNA from 1 species